rnacentral:rRNA from 1 species
AUGGAAGAAAUUAUCUACACCAAAGUGCAAGGGGGAAUGGGUUUUGGUGAUCUUCACAUCUUCAACCUGUCCCUGUUAGGGAAACAAGGAUGGCGCCUUGUAACAAACCCCAACACUUUGUGUGCCAGAAUUCUGAAGGGCAGGUAUUUCCCUGACUCUGAUUUCAUGCAAGCUACAACCCCCAAGAAUUCGUCUGCAACUUGGAGAGCAAUCAUCUCUGGACGGGAAGCUUUGCUCGCUGGUUUGAUUAAGAGAGUAGGGGAUGGGUCCUCCAUUGCGGUCUGGGAUGAUCGCUGGAUUCCGUCCACUACCACGAUGUCUCUGUUGUUUCGGCCACCGAAUACAAACAUAUCCAGGGUUGACGAGCUUAUUGAUACUGAAACCUGGAUGUGGAAAAGGCAGCUGGUGCGGGACACUUUUAUUCCGCCUGAUGCGGAAGCUAUUUUGAAUAUCCCGCUUCGCUCUGGAGGUGGAGAGGAUUUCUUCGCAUGGGCACAUGAGCCCUCAGGCAACUACUGGCAAGUCGGCGUACCGAGCUCUAAUGACUCAAAAAGAGCGUCAAGCUCUAGAGGAAGGGCAGCCUACCUGUCCAUCAACUGA